rnacentral:rRNA from 1 species
CCUACGGGAGGCAGCAGUAAGGAAUAUUGGUCAAUGGACGAAAGUCUGAACCAGCCAUGCCGCGUGAAGGAUGACGGCCCUCUGGGUUGUAAACUUCUUUUAUAGGGGACGAAAAAAGGGUAUUCUUACUCACUUGACGGUACCCUAGGAAUAAGCACCGGCUAACUCCGUGCCAGCAGCCGCGGUAAUACGGAGGGUGCAAGCGUUAUCCGGAUUCACUGGGUUUAAAGGGUGCGUAGGUGGGUCUAUAAGUCAGUGGUGAAAUCUCCGAGCUUAACUCGGAAACUGCCAUUGAUACUAUAGGCCUUGAAUUAUCUGGAGGUAAGCGGAAUAUGUCAUGUAGCGGUGAAAUGCUUAGAUAUGACAUAGAACACCAAUUGCGAAGGCAGCUUACUACGGAUAUAUUGACACUGAGGCACGAAAGCGUGGGGAUCAAACAGGAUUAGAUACCCUGUAGUCCACGCCCUAAACUAUGGAUACUCGACAUCAGCGAUACACUGUUGGUGUNUGAGNGAAGANAUAGUAUCCACCGNGAGACGACGCGAGUAGUUAAGUUAUAAUUAGAGUAGNGCGNGNGAGNGCGAGACGACGACGAGGAGAGG